rnacentral:rRNA from 1 species
CCUACGGGUGGCAGCAGUGGGGAAUAUUGCACAAUGGGGGAAACCCUGAUGCAGCAACGCCGCGUGAGUGAGGAAGUAUUUCGGUAUGUAAAGCUCUAUCAGCAGGGAGUAGAAAAGAAGGUACCUGAAAAAGAAGCCCCGGCUAACUACGUGCCAGCAGCCGCGGUAAUACGUAGGGGGCAAGCGUUAUCCGGAUUUACUGGGUGUAAAGGGAGCGUAGACGGAAAGGCAAGUCAGAUGUGAAAGCCCGGGGCUCAACCCCGGGACUGCAUUUGGAACUGUGUGGCUGGAGUGUCGGAGAGGCAGGCGGAAUUCCUAGUGUAGCGGUGAAAUGCGUAGAUAUUAGGAGGAACACCAGUGGCGAAGGCGGCCUGCUGGACGAUGACUGACGUUGAGGCUCGAAAGCGUGGGGAGCAAACAGGAUUAGAUACCCCAGUAGUC